GUGGGGGGUUGGAAGAAGCUGGAAGAUAUUACAGACUAUUUCCUUGCCUAGAAGCUUGGCGCUCGUUCCCUCCCACUCAGGGAGCUCACAUUAAGAGUUUUACAACAAAGUGGAGAAAACGCUGAAAACUUGAACCUGCUCUCCUCCGGCUGCAUCGGCCUUCCUAGCGGCUCACUUGUUUUCUUUCUCUGCCGCUGCCUGCGCAUGUUUCUCGCUCUCGCUCUCGUCCUCCCCCUCCCUCUGCCUCCUUCUCUGGGCUGUAUGUAAGGAGAUCACUUUGUUUCCGUAGCCUUUUUCCGCGGUGCUGCAGACACACAUGGAGAGGAGGAUUGAAUUUGAGGAGAUACUGACAGGGUGGGGGGCGAGGGGUGGGGGGGUUCACAGCUGCAGGAGUCCCCUCCAUCUUCUCCACACCAGGACUAAUGCUCCCCUCCCUCUCCCGCUCUCUUCUUGGGGUGUUUGACUCUCCCUCCGCCGCGCUCUCUCUCUGCUUUUUGCCUGUCGGAGGGGUGGGGGUGCCAUAUGGAAGCUCAGAAAAAUUUUAGCGGAUCGGAGAUAAGCAAGAGGAAUCUUACAUUUGCAAGCUCAGAUGUCGGGAACUAUUUGGGUGGUGAACUCGGUGGUCUGAGUAGAAAGCCCCUCCCCUGACCAGCACACGUUGAAGGGAGUUCUGGUAACUGUCCCUCGUGUCCCGUGGAUCUCAGAGGUAAGGCAGGCCCCAGCAGCACACGGACGCUCCCUGAGCCGCUGCUCCUCGGCGAGCCGCUGCUCCUCGGCGCGGCGCUGCUCCUCGGCGAGCCGCUGCUCCUCGGCGCGGCGCUGCUCCUCGGCGCGGCGCUGCUCUCCGUGUUGGUGGCAGAUGAAGGCAGGGGCUGGGCUGGGCUUGUGCCACUGUCCCAUUUUGUUUGCCUAUUUGCAGAAGACCUGAGAGUCCGUAAAAGUGUCAGACUGCGCUAACAGACGGUCUGUGUGAGAUAAUUAGCCCGGAGUCAUUUGAAGGCAGCUUAGCUCUGCCCAGGUGUCCAGUGCUCACCAGGAGAGACCAGGCGACCUUUUACUCAGCUCCAUCCCACUGCAGUCACUUAGAACAGUGAUGGAUGUCCCUCCAUACAGCCUGCUCCCCAGCCGCCCGCAUCCCCCUCUCUCAUCUCACCACCCCCACCCCGCUUCAACACCACUCUCACCUUAUUUGUCCCUUCUCCUUCUCCCUUCUCUGCCAUUCGUUGCAUCUUAACCCCCCCCCCCCACCACCUCCUUUUCUCUCUUCCUCCAUAGUGAUGAGAGGGAAGAGCUGGAGGAAAAUUGUGGGGAGGAGGUGGGGUUUAAACCCAGCGCUAGACGUGUUUCCUACCUGUCAGAGCGUACCCAGACGCUGCCGCCCCCCCCACCCCCACCCCCAGCUUCGCAUUAGGAUGCACACGGUGUCGCUCAGGUGACAGGGCCCCUGGCGUCGGUCCCAACUGCAGGAGCAGUGCAGGAAACAAGGACACCAGGUAAGGACAAUGGGAGCCAGAGAAGGAGACAAAGGAAGGAAUAACGAUGGAGUUCUUUUCUAAAAUGCUCUGAACUAGUCUCCCUGCUGCUGUCUGCUGAGAUGAGCUAAAGUUCAGCUGCUGUCCAUCAUUUCUGAAACCAAACGCUUCAGUCUGCAGAUGUAAAAUCAAAGUGAUGUUCAACUUUCUCACCAGUGAAAGUCUUGGUGUUGUAGAGCUCAGUCCUCAGUGUCCUGUUCUUCCUCUUGUAAAUGCUGAAUUUAAUAAACAUUUCUGUAUGAACACGAUGUCUAUGUUUGGUCCUUUUGACGCAUCAUGUUUGACUUCAUGUAAGCAAACAAAGGAGGAAUUCUGCAGUUUUCUCGCCAAACACUUUCAUUGUUUUCACAUGGAAGAUUUUCAUUCCCCCUGAUAUCUAGGAUAUGAGUUUUGUUGCCAAAGGCAACAGUGACAGAGGCGUAUUAGACAAAUAUUCAUACUUUGUGUGUAUGUGUGUUUGAGGAAAAGAGAAGAUGAGAAGAGGAAAGGAGAGAGGAAAGACUGUAGAUGUGUGUUUAUUUGCUUUACUUCUCUCGCUCUCUCUGUGUUGGUGUGCGUGUGCGUUAGGGGAGCAGUGCAGCCAGGCUGCAGAUAUCAUCCAUCUCCCUGUCACCGGCCCAGGGGCUGCUGGGAAAGCAGCAGACAGCUCCCCAGCUCCGGCAACGACGGCUGCAUCCUAAUUUUUCUGCAACGCAGGAGGCUGGAGAAAGCUGUGCUUCUCCUCCCUCACCACCCAGCACGCAAACCCAUUAACCCCACAAUCUGGGAACAAAGCGCAGAGCCGAGCCCGGGCCACUGCAGCCUGCGACUCCCAUCAGCUGCCAUCAUCCAGUGGCCGCGGCGAGACGGCAGCAGAAGAGGAGAGAAGCACGGCGCUGGGCUUAAACAGGGGAGGCUGGACACGUCAUGUGAAAAUGUAUCUUUUCAUAAAUCAGUUCAGAUCAGAAGCUUCUUCCACCGACUCGUCCUUGUGUGAGUGGUGGGGUUUGUUCACGAUGAGGUCCUCGUAAAGCAUCUUUAAGGGGAUUACACGGCUUCUUGUUAGCCAUGACAAAUUCUAUUGUAAAGCUGUUUUCACACAUUUCAAAGCAUUUUACAGUAUUUAAGUUUCCUCCAACAUGCCUCACUUAGAAUAAUACUCUUCUGAUUGGUUUGUGGCUUUGAUAGUUACAGCCUAGAGUAACCAUCAUGCAUUUGAACGUACAAAAGCAGUAAUGUAGUUAGAUUAGUCUAUUAUGUAAGAGUGACAUUAAUUCAUUAUUAAUUUAGAUUCUAUUUAUUUUUCCAGUUCUUGCAUAUCAGCUGAUUCACACAUUUUCAGGGCUAAGCUUUGUUUCUUUCCUGCUCGGAGAAGCUCAGGAACGGCUCAGCAAGUUUUCUGAGACUGCAGAAAUGUGAAGAAUCAAUUUUAAUGAUUCCUGGGGGAUUCGUUCUCCUCUUCACACAAACAUUCCAGGCUAAUGUUGCUCUCGGCCUACAGAGGGGUCUGGAUGUCUGCUGGAGGAGUUUGAAAAGUAAGUUUGUAAUCAAAGACGCACAGAGGAGGCCCGCUUUCACGCUUGGCUCAGCAUUAACGGCUCAGAAGGACACGCAGGAGGGAUCAGCACACGUAGGGUGGGAGGCGCUGCAAGGAGCCGGGUACCAUUGUGGAACCCAGGACCUUCCAUUUGUUCCUGGUACAAAACGUUUUUUACGCCAUUACUGAUUUAUAAAGAGGCAUUAACAAUAUUUUAAGAGAAUUCACUUAUUUGCAAGUGUACAAUGCACUCAAAAAUGCCACUUGUAUACUUUUGGGAAACUUUGCUAAAAGCAACUGACUGAUGAGAUUUAAACAAGGCAUAUGUUUCUGGUUUGCAAUAACAAACCGCUCAAAGCAACUAUAUUUUCUAAAUAGAAUUUCAAACAUUUGAUCUAUAAGUUAAAGUAAUUUUGCAACACGAGGGGUACAGUCCAUGCAUCUUUCUGUACAUUUCUAAAUGAUGCUGCCUGGUCUCACAAAAAAUCCUAAUAAAAAUACCUAGUUUUGUGCCUGCAACAUGAUUAAGGUUCAGCCAUUUUCUGGGAGUUCUCUUUCAGAAAAGGUGAUCUGUGUUUAGUCACAUGAUCCAUCCAUGGCAAAGAAAAUAAACCAAAAAGAACUGCCUGACCUCAGUCUUCUCCUGACAUGGAGAAAAUAGCAGUGGCGCUCACAGCUCUCUGGAUUUGUCAUUUGCGGUUUACAUUUCUAUGUUUAACUUGCUGUAAAACAUGAACUCCUGAACCGAGCGCACAUGUGAAAGAGCUUCGUUUCCAGACAGCUGCAGUCACCGUGGCACUGCAGCUUCAAAGCACCACGAACGCGUCUUCGCUGUUUAUACCAACCAGUCACUUCCUGGCUUCCUCACAUGGGACUAAAAACAGCUUGAGCCUUUUGUCUUUCAGCAUCCUCCUAUGAGGGAUUAAUGCCACACAGCGGGAAUGGUGUCUGUAUGCCACCGUGCCUGUGCCAGUCCACAGAAUAAACACCACGCAGCUCAUGUGUCUGCAAAUAUCAAUAGCACCUACUAAUAAAAAAAAGAGCAUUUUCAAAAGCAGCCAUGAAAUAAGCCGCCUUUCUAUAAUUAACCUUUCCACAUUGCGGUCCUGCCGUGCUGCGUUCAGGUGCUCCCCUUCCUGGAGGGGUUUGUGUUGAAGGCCCCGUGACAGUGAUUCAGCCUCGGCUAGGAGACGCUACGCUGAGCUCUAAACGCCUUCUCAGAAGCCUGAGAACCAACUCUGAGCUGAGCACAAAGGCCACUUUGAUUUGUGAAGCAGAAUAAACAUCAUGCUCAUACAUGUUAUCAGAAUCUGCUGACUGGGUUUCUCUCUAAGUGGCCUGCGGGAAUCUCACACUGACGGAAGGGAAAAAUACGGCAAGGUUAUCAAAUGAGGCUUUAGAGCACAUAGUCUAGUGUCUGUAUUAAACCGGUUGGGGUGGGGGGAGUAGGAGGAAGCCCCUCAGUAAAUGGCUCUUUGGCUUUUAAUUGUUCACCUCUGUAAAAACAUGAAGCUAGAUUCUUUUAGCUGGGUGAAAAAUAACAGAGAUUAAAAAAGUGACAAGUUAAAAACCCAUUAGAUUAGAUUCAUUAUUUUUCCUAAUACUUAUAAAAGUAUUUCAUUCUCUUUAAAUAUAUUUUUCCAUGUGUUUUACGUCACUGCAAAAAAAAAAAAAAACAGUUUAUUGAAAAUAGCACAUUUGCAGUAACAGACAUCUUUCAAUGGGUACUAAAACAAUGUGAACAAUUUUAAUCAAACGCUUACAGUUACAGACCUGCUUUCUGAUAUCUUAAAGAUUGAUGUGAGACAUGGAGCUUUGAGUUCGGAAAGCCUCCUUCCCAUCAACAACGAUCUUUUAGCUCCUUUCAUAGAUUCUCUAGCAGAGACAAGUUGGGAUUUGACUGGGCCGCUCCAAAACUUCAGGAUUAUUUCCAGUCAGGACAAACACGUUGGUAAAAUUGCUUCUGACCUAAAUCUUCUGGUGAGAGGAAAAAUUCUGGGCUUAACUGUAACUGUGGAGUAGAAAGACAAUGAUUUUUCAACAUUUUUUAUAAAUUUAAAAGCCCCCUUUUUACUCAGGAGAAACCAAUAAAUAAAAUCCCUUGCCUUCGGAGGCUCCCUAAUUAGCAGACGAAUUACCAGAGAUCUCUUUUGAUUUUAUCUCAGUAUAAAUACAGCUGUUCAGUGAAGGCCUCAGAAUUUUGUCAGAGAAUGCAUGUGAACAAAGUUCAUCUGGUCAGAUGAGCCCAAAAUGAAGCUUUCUGGACUAUAAAUAAAACAAAGUGAGGAGGAAAACGAACACUUUACAUCAUUCUGAAAACCCUGUCCCAUGUUGAAACAUGGCUGUGGCAGCACCACACUGAGGGAAUUCUUUUUU